rnacentral:rRNA from 1 species
UACGUAGGGUCCAAGCGUUAUCCGGAAUUACUGGGCGUAAAGGGUGCGUAGGCGGCGAUUUAAGUGAGAUGCGAAAUUCAGCGGCUCAACCGUUUGAACUGUAUCUCAUACUGAAUUGCUUGAGUAUGGCAGAGGUAAGCGGAAUUACCGGUGUAGGGGUGAAAUCCGUAGAUAUCGGUAGGAACACCAAUGGCGAAGGCAGCUUACUGGGCCACAACUGACGCUGAGGCACGAAAGCGUGGGGAGCGAACAGG